UUAGACGUGAUCAAAACAGGCGAGCCUGCCGUGCCUUAGGGGAUUGCGGGAUGUGUUUCAGAUGUCAACACCGGAUAAAUCAGAACUUAAGAGCUGCAGGGGACAUGUUUAGUGUCUUAAAGCUCUUGGUAUGAUGCAUUGUUGAAGCUGUCAGCACUCGUCUGGGCAAUCUUACCUUUCUACUUACAGGCAAACUUCUAACCACUCAAGAGAAGGAAUUUAGAGUCUGCACUGGGUCACCUGAAGUGAAUCCCAUCUCUGAGCCUUUUCCUCACCAGUGAAGUGGCCAUCACGAGACUUCCCGAUGUGGCUGUGAGAAGCACAUGGAAUACUCUGUCUCUAACACCGAGUAUGGUGUCAGCACAUUGUGAGCAGUCUCCUGGGGGCUAUGGAGGGGUUGCUGUGUAGUCGACAGUAGCACUGAAUGUUCGGGUAAAUGGAUCAUUCUCCUGUCCUCGUACACUUAGUAUGCUCUCAGAGUAUACACUAGACUCCUAGGAGUUAGUGUCUCUUGGGAGCUAGAGGCUCACCCCGUCAAACCUGCAUAUCCUCCCCCCUGAAGCAGGCCUCUGGCUUAUCGCGGGUUAAAGAAGUUACCUGUGGUGGGUUUUUUUUGGAAAUGAUGAUGAGAUGGUAAGGGGAGGGAGAGAUGACUGAGUGAAAUUCUGAAAUAGAAUUUAAACGUGUAAUUGGCUUGUUUCUGUUAAUGCCAUUAGAAGUGUGGCCCUCAUAAAAUGAUAACAAUUCCUAGUUUCCCCAGGGGCAGUUAUGUAUUUUGCAAUGGGGUAUCUGGACUUUGGGGAUGAAGCAGCAAUAACAUUCCCUCAGUUUCUCAAUUGUUCAGCAUUGCCUAGGCACCUAAGCCACCACGCUAAGCCUUCAGGCAGCGAUAGCAAGAAACGCAGACCUAGCACCCGUGGAACACGUGCCUGCUGGUCAUACAGAGGCGAACAUGUAAUUAUCCUUGUGCUCAGUGCGAGGCAGGAAAAACGUCAAGGGCAGAAAGGGAAUGUGACUGAGGAUGGGAGGGAUGUCAGGAAUGCUUGCUUGCGGUAGUGGUGUUGGGAUUGUGAAGGAAGGUUCUUUCUCGGGGAAGAAAGAGCCUUUAAUAUGUAAGGAACAGCCCCUGCAGAGACUCUGCACAAGCAGGUGCCAUAGGGCCAGGCCGGGGAGAGGGCGGGUAUCUUUGAAGAAGGGGCAAUGUUAUGAAUGAGGCUGGAACCGUAGGCCUCUGCUGUGAGACACAUUUUCUUUCCUAGCAAGGUUUACAGUCUCGGUAGAACUCUUAAUUGUUCUGUGUAAACAUCUUACCUUAGGCUUUCAAACUACUCUACUGAAUUAUAAAAAGGAGAUUUACAAUCAUUUUUUUAAGCUGAUCAGAACCAAACCUAGUUGACUAGUUUGUCAGCUCUCUGCAUUACCAAGCAUCUGACUUUAAAACCACUGGGAUUCAUUUCUUUUUUAAAAAUCUAAUAGAUUUCUGUUUAAUAUACCUAUUUUUCAUAUUUCCAGCCAUCCUAUUUACGUAUAUACAAAUUUAUUUGUCCUAUAUAUGUAUACGGGAGACCUGGAAAUAUACAAAAUAUGUAUAUCGAUCCAGUUUGAAUCUGUAUAUCUGUUCAAGAGCUGUCGGGACUGAUUGGCUCGCAUUUCGCCCAUGGGACGCCGUCCUAGUGUGGAUGUGAGAAGCCUGAGCCCGGCUCUGAGAAGCUGCGACGUGGGCCUGCCGGGCGGUAGCAGUGUGCAUCUUGGUGGAUUGCUCUCCAACACCAUCCUGGCAAGCUCAGCGAAGAAUUUGGCACCGGAUUCUCUUCACCAUAUGCGUGGCUUUAUUCACUGUUAUUCCGUUCCCUUUUUUCCUCCUUCUCUCCCUCCUUUAUCAUUUUUUCCUUCCUAUUUCUUUUUCUCUCUCUCUAGGAGCCCCCAUCAUUAUUUCUUAGCCUUUAUAAUUAUGCUCUGGCUUUAACCUCAGGCCCUACAGUGUUGGCUUCAUUUGGGUAGUCCUGGAUGGUAUGGCCCUUGACCUUCUUCCUGUUCUUCAUGGAUAACCAUAGGUGUCAGAUGGACACAAACUUUUUCCUUCUUGCACUUCUCCCCAGGCAGCAGACCUGCUGCCUUGUGCCCUGAAUGCCCUCAUCUCUCCCUUCUUCCCUGGAUCAGGGAGGCCGCGGAUAACAGAAACUAUCCUAGCUCCUGGAAGCAGAAAGGGGUUUCAUAUGGGAAGAAGGCGCUCACAAUAAUGUUGGAAGAAAAGGUUGCCACUGAAAGGAGAGAAGAGGAUCCAGGCUGAGCUCUAGGGGUGACACCCAGGCAGCACAGCUGAACUGGGCCCCCUGGGGCUGCUGCCAUCAUUGCCACGGUGUGGAGGCUGGGAAUCAGGGCCACCACGGGAGCUGCUGACAAUCAAGAGGGCAGUGAUCAGAGAAGCUGCUCCAAAGUGCCAUCCAGCCAGGGCGCAGUGACUGAACAUAGCUGCCAACAACGAACACAAACUAGCAGACUUCUCUUUUUUAUAUACCCUCUCCCUCCCUUCUCACCUGAGUCUUCUCAAGGAGAGCUUGACUGUGCCCAGAACCCUAGCUGCAAGGAACUCUGGGAAAUGUAGUUUACACCUUUCCAGCCUCUGGGAUGGAGGAAUGCACCCUUGAAGUAGAUGGGAAAGAAUGCGGAGUGACACCCCCAUCGCGUCCUACAUAUAUCUAAAACAUAUUUCAUCAGAGCCUGAGCUAGCAUAUUUCAUUCAAAGCAGGUAGAUGAUAUAUUGUAAGAAUCCAAAAAGGAUCCAGUUGCUAACCAAUUUCCAUUUCAAACAGAUGGAUAUUAUAGUCAUUGCAGUCGAAAUUGCUGGAAAAAGCAUCAAGCAAAUAAAUAACUAAAAAUUACCAAGCACCUACCUCUGCGUGUGGUUGUGUUUGAAUGUGAAAUAAUUUACCUUUGUUUUGAUUUAGUAAUCCAAAUCAAAUACCAGGAGAAUUGAUUUCUGAAAAAGUCCUCCCCACCAAAGUCCCAGAUAGCCUACGUUUAAUGCAUAGCAAUACAAAGGAAGAAGGCAGUGUCUGAUAAGAGAUAGCUCCUGGCAGGCUGGCUCUUUCAGUAGAUGUUAUCUAUGUAUCUGUGUUUCUACCGAAAUCUUUCUUUAAUCUAUAACGUGAAUGGUGCUUUUUUUCUUUUUUUAAGGAUUACAAAGAUAGAAAUGACCUGUUAAUUAGAGA